GGGUGAGAUCAUACCAGCAUUAAUGCACCAUAUCCCAUUGGAACUCCACAGUUAAGCGCGCUUGGGCUAGAGUAUUACUGGGAUGGGUGACCCCUCGGGAUGUCUUAGUGUUGCACCCU
rfam:Picea glauca, whole genome shotgun sequence.